rnacentral:rRNA from 1 species
AUAUCUGUUUGAUUGUCUAUCCUAUGGAUAACCGUGGGAAAUCUAGAGCUAAUACAUGCAGUUUAUGGUCGGGCUUGCUCGGCCAAUCAUUUAUUAGUUUUAACCAAUUACUGCGCAAGCAGUAAGGUGAAUCUAGAUAACUUUGCUGAUCGCACGGCUUUGCCGGCGACGUUUCAAUUGAGUUUCUGCCCUAUCAAUUUGUUGGUAAGGUAUUGGCUUACCAAGGUUGUAACGGGUAACGGGGAAUCAGGGUUCGAUUCCGGAGAGGGAGCUUGAGAAUCGGCUACCACAUCCAAGGAAGGCAGCAGGCGCGCAAAUUACCAAAUCUAGACAGUAGGAAGUGGUGAAGAGAAGUACUAAGUGGUGGUUAUUUACUACCAGCUUGGAAUGGACGUAAUUUAAGCAAUUCGAUGAGUAACUACUGGAGGGCAAGUCCUGGUGCCAGCAGCCGCGGUAAUUCCAGCUCCAGUGGCGUGAUUUAAAGUUGCUGCGUUUUAAACGCUCGUAGUUGGAUCAAGCGGUGUCAGUUUGUAGUCUGCGAUUAGUAUCUGACUGCUUCAGUCGAUGCUU